UACGUAGGGUGCAAGCGUUGUCCGGAAUUAUUGGGCGUAAAGAGCUCGUAGGCGGUCUGUCGCGUCGAAUGUGGAAAAUCCGGGGCUCAACCCCCGGACCUGCAUUCGAUACGGGCAGACUAGAGUUCGGUAGGGGAGUCUGGAAUUCCUGGUGUAGCGGUGAAAUGCGCAGAUAUCAGGAGGAACACCGGUGGCGAAGGCGGGACUCUGGGGCCGAUACUGACGCUGAGGCGCGAAAGCGUGGGGGAGCAAACAGG
rnacentral:rRNA from 1 species